rnacentral:rRNA from 1 species
UUAUAUUCUGUAGCAAGGUUAACCGAAUAGGGGAGCCGAAGGGAAACCGAGUCUUAACCGGGCGUUAAGUUGCAGGGUAUAGACCCGAAACCCGGUGAUCUAGCCAUGGGCAGGUUGAAGGUUGGGUAACACUAACUGGAGGACCGAACCGACUAAUGUUGAAAAAUUAGCGGAUGACUUGUGGCUGGGGGUGAAAGGCCAAUCAAACCGGGAGAUAGCUGGUUCUCCCCGAAAGCUAUUUAGGUAGCGCCUCGUGAAUUCAUCUCCGGGGGUAGAGCACUGUUUCGGCAAGGGGGUCAUCCCGACUUACCAACCCGAUGCAAACUGCGAAUACCGGAGAAUGUUAUCACGGGAGACACACGGCGGGUGCUAACGUCCGUCGUGAAGAGGGAAACAACCCAGACCGCCAGCUAAGGUCCCAAAGUCAUGGUUAAGUGGGAAACGAUGUGGGAAGGCCCAGACAGCCAGGAUGUUGGCUUAGAAGCAGCCAUCAUUUAAAGAAAGCGUAAUAGCUCACUGGUCGAGUCGGCCUGCGCGGAAGAUGUAACGGGGCUAAACCAUGCACCGAAGCUGCGGCAGCGACACUGUGUGUUGUUGGGUAGGGGAGCGUUCUGUAAGCCUGUGAAGGUGUGCUGUGAGGCAUGCUGGAGGUAUCAGAAGUGCGAAUGCUGACAUAAGUAACGAUAAAGCGGGUGAAAAGCCCGCUCGCCGGAAGACCAAGGGUUCCUGUCCAACGUUAAUCGGGGCAGGGUGAGUCGACCCCUAAGGCGAGGCCGAAAGGCGUAGUCGAUGGGAAACAGGUUAAUAUUCCUGUACUUGGUGUUACUGCGAAGGGGGGACGGAGAAGGCUAUGUUGGCCGGGCGACGGUUGUCCCGGUUUAAGCGUGUAGGCUGGUUUUCCAGGCAAAUCCGGAAAAUCAAGGCUGAGGCGUGAUGACGAGGCACUACGGUGCUGAAGCAACAAAUGCCCUGCUUCCAGGAAAAGCCUCUAAGCAUCAGGUAACAUCAAAUCGUACCCCAAACCGACACAGGUGGUCAGGUAGAGAAUACCAAGGCGCUUGAGAGAACUCGGGUGAAGGAACUAGGCAAAAUGGUGCCGUAACUUCGGGAGAAGGCACGCUGAUAUGUAGGUGAAGUCCCUCGCGGAUGGAGCUGAAAUCAGUCGAAGAUACCAGCUGGCUGCAACUGUUUAUUAAAAACACAGCACUGUGCAAACACGAAAGUGGACGUAUACGGUGUGACGCCUGCCCGGUGCCGGAAGGUUAAUUGAUGGGGUCAGCGCAAGCGAAGCUCUUGAUCGAAGCCCCGGUAAACGGCGGCCGUAACUAUAACGGUCCUAAGGUAGCGAAAUUCCUUGUCGGGUAAGUUCCGACCUGCACGAAUGGCGUAAUGAUGGCCAGGCUGUCUCCACCCGAGACUCAGUGAAAUUGAACUCGCUGUGAAGAUGCAGUGUACCCGCGGCAAGACGGAAAGACCCCGUGAACCUUUACUAUAGCUUGACACUGAACAUUGAGCCUUGAUGUGUAGGAUAGGUGGGAGGCUUUGAAGUGUGGACGCCAGUCUGCAUGGAGCCGACCUUGAAAUACCACCCUUUAAUGUUUGAUGUUCUAACGUGGACCCGUGAUCCGGGUUGCGGACAGUGUCUGGUGGGUAGUUUGACUGGGGCGGUCUCCUCCUAAAGAGUAACGGAGGAGCACGAAGGUUGGCUAAUCCUGGUCGGACAUCAGGAGGUUAGUGCAAUGGCAUAAGCCAGCUUGACUGCGAGCGUGACGGCGCGAGCAGGUGCGAAAGCAGGUCAUAGUGAUCCGGUGGUUCUGAAUGGAAGGGCCAUCGCUCAACGGAUAAAAGGUACUCCGGGGAUAACAGGCUGAUACCGCCCAAGAGUUCAUAUCGACGGCGGUGUUUGGCACCUCGAUGUCGGCUCAUCACAUCCUGGGGCUGAAGUAGGUCCCAAGGGUAUGGCUGUUCGCCAUUUAAAGUGGUACGCGAGCUGGGUUUAGAACGUCGUGAGACAGUUCGGUCCCUAUCUGCCGUGGGCGCUGGAGAACUGAGGGGGGCUGCUCCUAGUACGAGAGGACCGGAGUGGACGCAUCACUGGUGUUCGGGUUGUCAUGCCAAUGGCACUGCCCGGUAGCUAAAUGCGGAAGAGAUAAGUGCUGAAAGCAUCUAAGCACGAAACUUGCCCCGAGAUGAGUUCUCCCUGACCCUUUAAGGGUCCUGAAGGAACGUUGAAGACGACGACGUUGAUAGGCCGGGUGUGUAAGCGCAGCGAUGCGUUGAGCUAACCGGUACUAAUGAACCGUGAGGCUUAACCUUACAACGCCGAAGGUGUUU